GGAGGAGUUACGCAGGCAGGGUUGUGGUUGCUGGCUGUUACCAGGACAACCGGAGGCGAUUGACCGUUAUCUGCGGUUUGGAGCCGUUAGCGGGAGAGGCAGAGAUAUUCAGAGGUCUUUUAGGAUGCGCUAAAGGGUCGUGAGGGCUCUCUUAAAAUUUUCUUCACAAGCGGUUAUCCAGUCGUGCCCCGCGGCCCUGCUGCUGGCCCCGGGGAUCUGAGUCGUACCCUCUUGUUUUUCUCUGAGUCAGUCUUAAGGUGAAAUGAAGUGUGGCCCAGUGGCUCCUCACUGUCGCUUCUCUAGUUUUCUGCCUCCUUUUAGAAAAUUGAAUUGAAAAGACAGGAUGAAGUGGACACAGCAUGUGAAGACAAUUCUUUCAAGAAGUUUGGCUGUCAAGGAAAACAGAGAAUGUG
rnacentral:lncRNA from 10 species